UUAUCAGAGGCUCUUCUAUUCUCUUGCCAGGAAUCAGCACUGGACAGAGCACAGUGUGGCGAUGGUGUCCUCAGCUCAGUUCCUCUGCCUCCUCCUGCUUUGGCUUCCAGAUGCCAGUGGACAGAUCACGAUGACCCAAUCUCCACCUUUUCUGUCUGCGACUCCAAGAGGCACAGUCACCAUCUCCUGCAGGGCUAGUCAAAACAUUAACAAGUACUUAGCUUGGUACCAGCAGAAACAUGAUCAGUCUCCAAAGAGACUCAUUUAUCAUACAUCCAACCUAGAUUCUGGGAUUCCCUCCCGGUUCAGUGGCAGUGGGUCUGGAACAGAUUACACUCUCACCAUCAGCAAUGUGGAGACUGACGAUGCUGGAGUUUAUUAUUGUAUGCAGUAUGAUGUAUAUCCUCCCACAGUGUUCUAGCCCUGAACAAAAACCUCCCCAGUCAGUACAGCUGCUUUAGCACAGGGGAGCAGCUGCAUACUCUAGACUCCAGAUGAAAACAGCCUGUGCUCUUUGGUCAAGAAUAAACUAACCUCAUCUUCCUGC